rnacentral:rRNA from 1 species
AUCGAACGCUGGCGGCAGGCCUAACACAUGCAAGUCGAGCGAGCGGCGGACGGGUGAGUAAUGUAUGGGGACUGCCCGCUAGAGGGGGAUAACUACUGGAAACGGUGGCUAAUACCGCAUACUAUCGGCUAACCCCUAUGGGAUUAGCUAGUUGGUGGGGUAAAGGGUGACCUGGGCGACGAUCUCGAGCUGGUCUGAGAGGAUGAUGAGCGAAACCGGGACUGAGACACGGCCCAGACUCCCACGGAGUCAGCAGUGGGGAAUGUUGCGCAAUGGGCGCAAGCCUUGUGCGGCCAUGCCACGUGUAUGAAGAAGGCCUUAGGGUUGUAAAGUACUUACAGCGGGGAGGCGUUACCCGCAGAAGAAGCACCGGCUAACUCCGUGCCAGCAGCCGCGGUAAUUC